UUUCCUCUUAACAAGCAUCGAGAAUAAUAGUUUUUUAAAAAAGAGAGAGCUUAGAGAAAAAAGUUUUCCCAACUUCUCAUUCCGCCUUCAGUUCCAGACUUCAGAGUCACCGUGAUCAGGCUUCGGCUGUGACUAGACAUGGAGUAGACUGAGCAAUAUACAAAUACAAUCUGAUUUCACAAAAUUUGCAAAUGAAAUGAAAGGACAACAACUAUGAUACAUGAUACAUGAACUCACUAUUGUGAAAGAGUAAUAAAAUUGGGAACGCGAGUGGAAGUCAGCAAGGGUAAACAUCUGACCCAACAGUUCAUUCAGGGUUGUAAACAGAAAGGACUUCACAGCUCAGACGGUAAGCAUUUUCAUCGCUUCCCAUAAGCAGCAAUGCUACGCAUUCUUCACUAAAAUCCUGCAGUUUGCUUGUUAUUUUUAACUGAUUAUUAGAUGAUUUCCACAUGAGGAUCCAUAACCAAGAAGGCAAUAGGGCAAUAAAGCCAAGCAUAGCCAGAAUUUCUAUUAGCUCCAGCAAUACAUUGCAUCUAAAACUGAAAACUGGAAAUGCCUUUGUCAGCUCUUCGUACAUAUGUUUGUGUGUGCACUUUUCCAUUUUUAUAUAAUAACUCCUUGACUAAUUCUGCCGAAACAAAGCAAUGUGGUUAGUGGGUAGGGGGGAUCUCUCAGAGCAGGAGAGGAUUUGGUUGUUUGCACUUAGUGGAAUGAGCAAGUUGGCUGCAAAUGGGGGCAGGCACCACGGAAAGAACCCUAGAUGCGGAGUUAGAAUCCUGAGUUCUUGUCCUAAAUGUCACUAAUCAACUGUGGUGCCUGGGGCAAGCCACUUAAGUUUUCUGCUGUGCCCUAGUUUUUCUUGUUAUAAAUUGGGACAAUAAGGCUUGCUCUACUUACCUCAUUAGUUUGUUAUGAGGGUCACAGGAGUUAAUCUGCAUGAAGGUACUUUUAAAACAUAAAGCUAUCUGUAAAUGCAAUGCAUUUUCAUUUUGUAUAUUGAAUUUUGAAACUAUAAAAUAAACCUGUAGUUGAAUGACACUCCAUCUUGGCUGUUGUGGCUCAUACAAACAGGUAUAAUAAAUUUGCUAAUAUUAUACACUGAAAUUGUAUUUCCAGUAAGAAUUGAUAGAGGAGUCAGAACAGUUCUAUACAUAUGAGCCCAAGAGUAUGUUAGAAACUGAUAUAUUAGCAACUGAUAGCUAUAGGAGAUGUCGAGAUAAAGACAUAAUAGUCAAUGUGCAAUCUAGAUCAGUGAGUUUAACAUUUGAUAAAAUAAUAGUGAGGUUGAAUGUUUUGCUAUAGUACAAAUUCUUUGAAAAUUUAAUCUGAACAGGUAUGAAAGUAAAGAAAAGUAUUACAUAAUUAGAAUCAAAUAUUUUUAGAUGGAAAAAACGUUAGAGAAUAUUCUAAUCCAACUCCCUUGGUUUUGCAGCUGAAAACGUAGAAACUCGGUUUGCAUGCGUUUUAUCCAAAACCAUACAUGUGAGAUAGUGGCAAGGUUAUUCUAAUAUUCUGGUUACUCAGAGCUAUCUCUGAAACCAUUUUGCAAAUCCAAAGUGAGAGACCGGCUCAAGGUGGUGGCUACAUUAAGAAUCUGGGAUUCCAGGGUUAAUCCUGCUGUGGCUGGGCUACGAGACUAGAGGAAGCUCACGAACAGCCAGGAGUCAAGGCAGAUUUGUUGAAUGAUCCGUUCCAAUAAAAGAGCUGAAGUGGGUCAAACAAAUUCUAAAGGAAAGAACAGGCUGUCUGAAGGGAGACCUUGAGCGGGAGACAAUGUAGAUACAAGAAGUAGAGUCUAGCAGUUGACUCACUAACCAGAAAGGGCUUGGGAAUAAUUGCAAUAAGAGAAUAAUGGUGGUACUACUACUACUUAUAGCUAAAUUUUAUUGAGUGCUAUGUGCCAGGCAUGGUGCUAAGUGUUUUACAUAAUUAUCUUUUUAAAACCUCAAACACAGACACACACACAAAAUUGAGUUAGGAACCAUUAUCUCAUUUUGGGGAGGAAGAAAUGGAGGCAUAGUGGGAGAGUUAGAGCUUAACCUGCGUAAUAUAGUGCAAAGUCCACAUGCUCAACAGCUGUGGUCCAUGACCUCCAAAGAAGGGAGGAACAGGAGCCAACUUGGUGGCAUACUGAUUAAGUUUGCAUGCUCUGCUUCAGCGGCCCGGGGUUUGUGGGUGUGGAUCCCAGGCACAGACCUACACACUGCUCAUCAAGCCAUGCUCUGGCGGCAUCCUACAUACAAAAUAGAGGAAGAUUGGCACAGAUGUCAGCUCAGGGCCAAUCUUCCUCACCAAAAAAAAAAAAAAAAGUAGAAGGGAGGAACAGUAAGAGAACAUGUGCAGGAUUUAGCAAUUCCAGUCCUUGGUUCAUAGACUAGUUGGUAGGGGUGCAGUCUAUGACUUACACAAACUAUGAAUUUGAAUAUAAUAAACUACCUACAACCUAUGUCUAAACUUUGUUUCAAAAUCAUAACUUCACAUUAGCAUCUUACACUAAUUCUGCCGUUCAUAUACCUGUGAUUUUUCAUUUUAGUGUAGAUAUGAUAAAGUGGACAUAGAGAGUCAUUGGAUAUCAGCUUGCAAUUAAUUCUAGUGGAUUAAUGUUUAUACCAA